GAUGAACGCUGGCGGCGUGCCUAACACAUGCAAGUCGAACGAGAUGCUUGUCGGAAAGCUUCGGCCGGAAGAUACGUUAUCUAGUGGCGGACGGGUGAGUAACACGUGGGUAACCUGCCUUAUGGAGGGGGAUAACAGAGAGAAAUCACUGCUAAUACCGCAUAAGCACACAGUACCGCAUGGUACAGGGUGAAAAGAUUUAUCGCCAUAAGAUGGACCCGCGUCUGAUUAGCCAGUUGGCGGGGUAAAAGCCUACCAAAGCAACGAUCAGUGCCGAUCUGAGAGGAUGACCGGCCACAUUGGGACUGAGACACGGCCCAAACUCCUAGGGAGGCAGCAGUGGGGAAUAGUUGCACAAUGGGGGAAACCCUGAUGCAG
rnacentral:rRNA from 1 species